rnacentral:pre_miRNA from 1 species
CAAGUACUCCCUCCGUCCGGAAUUACUUGUCAUCAAAAUGGAUGUGUCUAGAACUAAAAUACAUCUAAAUACAUCCAUUUCAAUGGCAAGUAUUUUCGGACGGAGGGAGUACAAG